GCAUAUCAAUAAGCGGAGGAAAAGAAACCCAACAGGGAUUGCCUUUAGUAACGGCGAAGUGAAGCGGCAACAGCUCAAAUUUGAAAUCUGGCCCUCGGGUCCGAAUUGUAAUUUGUAGAGGAUGAUUUUGGUGCGGUAUCUUCCGAGUUCCUUGGAACAGGACGCCUUAGAGGGUGAGAGCCCCGUACGGUUGAAUGCCUAGCCUCUGUAAAUCUCCUUCGACGAGUCGAGUAGUUUGGGAAUGCUGCUCUAAAUGGGAGGUAAAUUUCUUCUAAAGCUAAAUAUUGGCCAGAGACCGAUAGCGCACAAGUAGAGUGAUCGAAAGAUGAAAAGCACUUUGAAAAGAGGGUUAAAUAGCACGUGAAAUUGUUGAAAGGGAAGGAUUUGUGACCAGACUUUUUCUGGGCGGAUCAUCCGGGGUUCUCUCCGGUGCACUUUGCCCAGUAAAGGCCAGCAUCGAUUUUCGGCGGCGGAUAAAAGCAGUGGGAAUGUGGCUCCCUACGGGGAGUGUUAUAGCCCAUUGUAUAAUACGCUGCUGGGGAUCGAGGUACGCGCUUCUGCAAGGAUGCUGGCGUAAUGGUUAUCAAUCACCCGUCUUGAAACACGGACCAAGGAGUCGAACAUUUAUGCGAGUGUUUGGGUGUUAAACCCUCACGCGUAAUGAAAGUGAACGGAGGUGAGAGCCCGUACGGGUGCAUCAUCGACCGAUCCUGAAGUUUUCGGAUGGAUUUGAGUAAGAGCAUAACUGUUCGGACCCGAAAGAUGGUGAACUAUGCGUGGAUAGGGUGAAGCCAGAGGAAACUCUGGUGGAGGCUCGCAGCGGUUCUGACGUGCAAAUCGAUCGUCAAAUCUGCGCAUGGGGGCGAAAGACUAAUCGAACCAUCUAGUAGCUGGUUACCGCCGA
rnacentral:rRNA from 1 species